rnacentral:rRNA from 1 species
UGAACGCUGGCGGCGUGCCUAAUACAUGCAAGUCUAGCGAACAGACGAGGAGCUUGCUCCUCUUACGUUAGCGGCGGACGGGUGAGUAACACGUGGAUAACCUACCUAUAAGACUGGGAUAACUUCGGGAAACCGGAGCUAAUACCGGAUAAUAUAUUGAACCGCAUGGUUGAAUAUUGAAAGACGGUUUUGCUGUCACUUAUAGAUGGAUCCGCGCCGCAUUAGCUAGUUGGUAAGGUAACGGCUUACUAAGGCAACGAUGCGUAGCCGACCUGAGAGGGUGAUCGGCCACACUGGAACUGGGACACGGUCCAGACGCCUACGGGAGGCAGCAGUAGGGAAUCUUCCGCAAAGGGCGAAAGCUUGACGGAGCAACGCCGCGUGAGUGAUGAAGGUCUUCGGAUCGUAAAACUCUGUUAUUAGGGAAGAACAAAUGUGUAAGUAACUAUGCACGUCUUGACGGUACCUAAUCAGAAAGCCACGGCUAACUACGUG